AGGGUUAAAGGUUUUUUUUUUUUUUUUUUGGUUUUUUGGCCCCGCUCAGGACGAACGCUGGCGGCGUGCCUAAUACAUGCAAGUCGAGCGGACAGAUGGGAGCUUGCUCCCUGAUGUUAGCGGCGGACGGGUGAGUAACACGUGGGUAACCUGCCUGUAAGACUGGGAUAACUCCGGGAAACCGGGGCUAAUACCGGAUGGUUGUUUGAACCGCAUGGUUCAGACAUAAAAGGUGGCUUCGGCUACCACUUACAGAUGGACCCGCGGCGCAUUAGCUAGUUGGUGAGGUAACGGCUCACCAAGGCGACGAUGCGUAGCCGACCUGAGAGGGUGAUCGGCCACACUGGGACUGAGACACGGCCCAGACUCCUACGGGAGGCAGCAGUAGGGAAUCUUCCGCAAUGGACGAAAGUCUGACGGAGCAACGCCGCGUGAGUGAUGAAGGUUUUCGGAUCGUAAAGCUCUGUUGUUAGGGAAGAACAAGUGCCGUUCAAAUAGGGCGGCACCUUGACGGUACCUAACCAGAAAGCCACGGCUAACUACGUGCCAGCAGCCGCGGUAAUACGUAGGUGGCAAGCGUUGUCCGGAAUUAUUGGGCGUAAAGGGCUCGCAGGCGGUUUCUUAAGUCUGAUGUGAAAGCCCCCGGCUCAACCGGGGAGGGUCAUUGGAAACUGGGGAACUUGAGUGCAGAAGAGGAGAGUGGAAUUCCACGUGUAGCGGUGAAAUGCGUAGAGAUGUGGAGGAACACCAGUGGCGAAGGCGACUCUCUGGUCUGUAACUGACGCUGAGGAGCGAAAGAAGCGAAA
rnacentral:rRNA from 1 species